AAAAUCCCUAUUCCGUUCAGUACGAAUGAUUCAAAUAGCAUUUGAUGAUAAAAAAUAACAAACAGCAAACGAGCAAACUUCUGAAACAACAAUGGUAUAUUAGCUCCGCCCAAGGCAUGAAGGAGAGCAGCAACAACUGGGAAAAGAUAGACACAAUAUUUUACAAGGACAGAAAGAAACAUCACAGACAGAAUAAUGGCCACAAAAAGGAAGAACAAGGAUAUACGGUAGUUUUAAUGCUUCACCUGUAGAUUUAUAAAUCAUUUAAUGUGUCAUUACGAAUGGAAUUCGUUAAUACUGCAGUUGUUGUAUAAGGGAUUGCGAUUUUGACUGGAGGUAAUUGAAAUUAAUAAGAUUUUGGAAUGAGGAAAUGAAGUAAAUAAUCAAACCAUCAAUUCUAGCAAGUGGGGGGGGGGAAGAGACACUUAAAUUACCUAAAUUACAUAAUUUGGCAUCUGAACAAUUGGUAUCAGUAAUUGUAUUAUAAUUUGGCAUUUUUAUAAUGAGGCUAUUAUUGGAUUAUUGUAAUUGAAAAUUAAUAAAAAUUAUUAUAUUUUUUUAAAAUUCUCAGCAUUCUUUUAGCAAUCUCCAUUUACAGCCCUUUUAAACUCUUGGUAUCGCCUCCCUUCAAUCUCUGAACUGCUUUUCUUAAACAGAGCUUCUUGCUCUACAUCAUCUUUUCUUUUGUAUUGCACAUUUGUCACCCAGCCCAUUCUAAAUGUAGCAUAAUAAACUUUAAAGCAUAACUUGUGAAAUCAAUCUGAAUUGGCUUUCACCAACUGAUUUUACAGCACAACCCUAUGCAUGCUUACUUAGAAGUAAGUCCCACUAUAUUAAUUGGUGCUUGAACUCAGGGAUAUGUAAAGGAUUGCAGCCUUCAUCUGUUCCUCCUGACCCUUCCUUGCAAUAGUCCCUUCCUAUUCCUGAUUUCCCUUUCUGGCACUUUCCCUUUUGCCUUUGAUGAUGCCCAUUUCCCCUUGUUAUUUUUCUCACUUCACCCUUUCCCACUCUCUUAUAGCAGCCUAUUUAUUAGUAGCCUAAUUUAGGGCUCUCUUUCUCCUCUGCCUUGCUCUAAGUUUCUCUGCAGUUACCCUUCUACAAAUGAAAUUGUGUGGCUAUUCUUCUGCAUUGUGCCAGAAAUAAUGUAGUUAAAAACAAGAGAACCUACCCAUGUGACGCUGACACAAAACCCUUGCACGUACGCUAUGUGAGAGGAUGAAAGUUUAAUAUCCCCCCUCUUCUCUUCCUCCCAACGUCCCGCCCCCCCCACCUUAUACUGUCUACAAUAUUGGUCUCUCACAUUGAAUAGAACUGGUCUGUAGAAACGACUUUAUGAUCUGAAAACAGAGAUGAUGUAUGCACUUUUGUGAUCUAAGGAAAUCUUUAAUAAAUAUUUUUUAAGUUAACACAGCUUUGUAUUUAUGCAUAGGAUCUUAAGAGUUGAGGGGAUGGGAAGAAACUAACAGUGAAAUCCUAUAUGGGACCACAAAGAAGUUAAGCCCCACUGAGUUCAAUUGAACUUAUUCCCGUGAAGUCUGUGUGUAUAGGACUGCAGCCUGAGACUGCAAGCGACCUUGUUAUGCAAACAGUCUGAAUGAUUACUUCUUAUAUUACAGCUUUGCAGACAAAACUCUCACACACAAUUAGCAUCCUGUUGAAACUAGCGACAGUACAGUCGUGCCUUGGGUUACAUACGCUUCAGGUUACAGACUCUGCUAACCCAGAAAAAUUGCUUCAUGUUAAGAACUUUGCUUCAGGAUGAGAACAGAAAUCGUGCUCCGGCGGUGCAGCAGCAGCAGGAGGCCCCAUUAGCUAAAGUGGUGCUUUAGGUUAAGAAUAGUUUCAGGUUAAGUACGGCCCUUUGGAACGAAUUAAGUACUUAACCCGAGGUACCACUGUAUGUCAGAAGAUGGUUAGAACGGUGGGUCUGGCAAGCUCUUUGCCUUUCAAGAAAUCGCUGCUUUUGAGAAACUCUUGAUUAUCAGGAGAUGAAUCAGAGUAUUAUGACAUAGUGUACAGAGCAGGGAUUUCUUAAAACAGAAGGAUAAAGCAUUUAGCAUAGCUCAGUAAUCCUUAUAGCACCCUGAGUGGGGCAAGCGGAAGAUGAGACACAUUAAUCUCUUUGAGGCAAGGUGUGGGAAUCUUUGGAACCUCCAGAUGCAUCUGAACUACAACUCCCAUCAGCCCCAGCAGGCAUGGCCAAUGGCCAGGGAUGAUGGGAGUUGUAGUUCAGCAACAUCUGGAGGGCCAAGUGUUCCCACAGCUGCCUUAAAACCACCCCAUGGAAGUUUGUGGCUGAGCUGAGUCUUGAAGUGGGAGCUUCCAGUUCAUUCCUUAAACUGUUAUGUCCAGAAGUUCCCGAUUGUGGUAGCUGUGUUGGUCAAAAAACAAUACAAUUAAGAUGUGUAGCUGUUCAAAUGAAAACUUUCCCAUUCGCCAGGCUUCUGGGCUUCACAGGACAUUGUCACAAAGCAACACAACAUUACCUUGCCAAGCCUACAAAUCAGGAGCAGCCAAGGCUUCAGAUGUUGUGAACUACAACUCCCAUCAUCCCUCACUAUUGGCACUGCUGGUUUUGGGUGAUGGGAGAUGUAGUCCAUGUGUUUUGUUGCGUGAAUAAACCACAUUUUGAUGCAUGUGCGUAAAACACAUAAUAUAAGAAAUCAUCCUAAACAUUAAAUACAAUCUUGCAAGCAAGCCUUACCCGAGGGUCUAAGCAUGAGGCCAACUUUUGGUACACUCAAACUGAAAUUUAGUGAAAAAGGAAUUCACUAGGACACCUUUGACCAAAAAAAUAGAGCAGUGCCAUCUAAUGGACACAAAUGUGUAUAGCAUUAGAGCUACAGAAAAGCACCCAUUACUGAAGCACAGGAAUUGACUGGUAUCCCUCUUGCAUGGCCUGCUGGGCUGUUGCUUUUAGACCAGCCUGCUCAUGAUUCAACUGUGUGUAUUGACUUCCCAAAGUAAGUGCCAAUACCAAUCCUUGUGGGAAUCAACUUUCUACCUCUCGUUAUUCAUUUGGAGAACUAUCCGUUUAGUCCUAUUCUUUGCUUCCUGCAACUUUAACUAUAAAAUUUGUUUUUAUUAACGGAUUUUCAUCGUUAACAUGGGUACAUGCAACGUCUGUUUUCAAUUCACAGAGUCCUUUCAACUUGACUAAGCUGCGAUUCCCAAGAGGAUCUCUCCUCUUAUUCCUCGACUGCUAAGCUUACUCAAGAGUCUUCAGCGUGGCCAUGACAAGAUCUGCUCAGUGGAUUUGGCCAGAACCCUUAACUGGACAGAGAUUGGCUUGGCGACUUUCAUAUUCUCUCUUUCUACAGAGCCCCACCUCACAAACAGUAAACCAUAGGCUUAGGAGGAACCCUAAGAUGACAUCUAGAGAAGCCCCCCAUCAUAUAACAAUAAUACAAGUGCCUAGCCCUUCUUAAAAGAAAACAAUACCC